GGGGGUAUAGCUCAGUGGGAAGAGCGCUUGCAUGGCAUGCAAGAGGUCAGCGGUUCGAGCCCGCUUACUUCCACCA
rnacentral:tRNA from 1 species